AGAGCUCACCCUCUCUGAAGGAGAGCAGGUGCCUCCUGAGAGCAGGGCUUCUCUACCUUGGGGCACUAUGAACAUUCUGAGUGGGGUAAGUGUUUACUGUGGGAGGCCCUAUUCAUGGCAGGAGGUUUAGCAAUCUCCCUGGCCUCUAGCCACUAGAUGACAAUAGCACCCCUGCCACACCCACUGUGUAACAACCAAAAAUGUCUCCAGACAUUGCCAAAUGCCCCCUGGGUCGGGGACGAGAGGGCAAAAGCAGCCCCAGUUGGGAGCCACUGCUUUAGAGAAUGGAGCUUGGAGCUGAUUUCUGGGACAAAUCCCAUGGGAUAGCCAGGACGUGCACCUGGGAUACCCUACAACUAACAGGCAUGAUGCCAUCAAGACAUCUUGAGCCUGGCUACCUCCCGUGGCCUGUAUUUUGUCCACAGGAAACUCGCGCAGUCUCACUACAGCAAAUUGAGGUGGUAUGGGGUGCCUGCUGCUGCCUCUCUCUUCACCUUUCCACAGAGGGCUGCCCCAGCCUGACUCCCACUUCCAGAGUUUCUCCAGCCAGGAGAAUCCUGAAAUCUCUGUAAAUAAGCAAUCCAGGAGCCAGAGAAUCAUGGGAUCUCAUAUAAACAAAUCAUCAAGGAAAAACACAGCCAGAGUCUCCAUUUGGUAAACCUCCGUGACUGGGGAUCCCCGGCCACCCAGAAAGCAGUAUUGCCUGCCAUGCAUGUCAUCACUGAUUUUUACUGCUGCAGCAGACUCCGUCAGACCUGCCUGCUGCUUCAGCGAAUUGUUCAGUGCACACCACCAGCUACCUGCUGUAAGCAUUCACACUCCUCUACCUGCCUGGCAGCAUUUCUCAGCUGAACACAGGCCAGGCCAGAAGUGCCAGGGAUUUAAUGCCCUUAGAAGUAGCUCUCUACCAAUGACAAAUGGAGCUGGUGGAUACAUUCUCAGCUUCCUCCCCUCUCAGGUGGAACAGCCCUGAGAUGUGCUCUAUGCAAUCUCCCACAAGUCCCCAGCAGGCUCAAGCUCCCAUUGUCCAACCCUGGUAACCUGCUCAUUGACACCCCUGUCUUGCCUUCCCUUCCUGGCCUCACUUUCUCACUCUCUUACUGUUGCCUCCUGAGAUCGCAUCCAAAAUAAAUGACCUGCACCCA
rnacentral:lncRNA from 1 species